rnacentral:sRNA from 1 species
CGCCGGCCUCUCCCCAGCAGCCGCGGCGCUGCUCCCCCUUCUGCCGGGCGCGCCUCUCGCUGGGCGCCCUGGCUGCCUUUGUCCUCGCCCUGCUGCUGGGCGCGGAACCCGAGAGCUGGGCUGCCGGGGCCGCCUGGCUGCGGACGCUGCUGAGCGUGUGUUCGCACAGCCUGAGCCCCCUCUUCAGCAUCGCCUGUGCCUUCUUCUUCCUCACCUGCUUCCUCACCCGGACCAAGCGGGGACCCGGCCCGGGCCGGAGCUGCGGCUCCUGGUGGCUGCUGGCGCUGCCCGCCUGCUGUUACCUGGGGGACUUUUUGGUGUGGCAGUGGUGGUCUUGGCCUUGGGGGGAUGGCGACGCAGGGUCCGCGGCCCCGCACACGCCCCCGGAGGCGGCAGCGGGCAGGUUGCUGCUGGUGCUGAGCUGCGUAGGGCUGCUGCUGACGCUCGCGCACCCGCUGCGGCUCCGGCACUGCGUUCUGGUGCUGCUCCUGGCCAGCUUCGUCUGGUGGGUCUCCUUCACCAGCCUCGGGUCGCUGCCCUCCGCCCUCAGGCCGCUGCUCUCCGGCCUGGUGGGGGGCGCUGGCUGCCUGCUGGCCCUAGGGUUGGAUCACUUCUUUCGAAUCAGGGAAGCGCCUCUUCAUCCUCGGCUGUCCAGUGCCGCCGAAGAAAAAGUGCCUGUGAUCCGACCCCGGAGGAGGUCCAGCUGCGUGUCGUUAGGAGAGACUGCAGCCAGUUACUAUGGCAGUUGCAAAAUAUUCAGGAGACCGUCGUUGCCUUGUAUUUCCAGAGAACAGAUGAUUCUUUGGGAUUGGGACUUAAAACAAUGGUAUAAGCCUCAUUAUCAAGUAAGUAUAAUUAAUAUCUGUGAUGAAUAUCUAAAUAAUAUCUGUGAUCACUAAAUAAUAUCUGUGAUGAAACUUUUGACACUUAAAGUUACACUCACAAUAUUUCUGUGCCAUAAGAUUUUCUUUAACUAAACUAAUAAGUUAACUAGAACCUUCAUUGAGGUAGAUUUUUUAAAAAUAUAUUUUAAUUAUAAGGGAAAAAGAAAAUGAUAAAAAACAAAAUUUAUAUAAAUUUUUAUGAAAAAUAUUGCUAAUAUAAUCUGGGCUCAGAAUCAACUAAUAUUUCUAUAUUAAGGAUAAGAUUUUUUUCUUUUCUGAUGUGGACCACUGUUCUAUAAAGGGGAAAAAAUAGAUGGAAGGCCAUAUCUGAGACAAAGCAAAGCAGUUGGCAACAUAUUUUAUUAGGGAAGUAAAGAUAUCCAACUUCCAUUUUUUGGUAAACUUUUUAUCAAAUUAUAACAUACAUGCAGAAAAGUGUACAGCUCAAUUUUCAGAAAUUAAACAUCCCAUGUAACUGGUACCGAUAUGAAGAAAUAGAAUGUUUCCAGUAUCUCAGAAGCCUCACUUAUGCCCAAUUCCAGUCAUUACCUAUAUCCCCAAAGAUAAAUCCUAUCCGACUUCUAAUAACUAGUUUUGCUAAUUUUUGAACUUUAUAUAUACACAAAUGGAAUAAUAUGUGUACUGUUUUAGGAUUAAUUUUUUGAACACCUAAGUAAUAUAUGUUUAUAUCAGAUAAAAUGAAAAUAGAAGUAUUUAAUAUAAGGAGAAAAAAGGAAAAUCACUCAUAAAACAUCAAGCAAUAACUGUGUUAACUUUUGAUGUCUAUCUUUAUUGAUCUUUCCCCUUAUGCUAAAUUUACUUAAUAAUUCUAAUAGCUUAUUUGAAGAUUCUUUGAGUCUUGAAGUACACAAUAAUGUUAUCUAUGAAUAAAGACAGAUUUAUUUAUUUAUUUCCAAACCUAUGCCUUUUAUUUCUUUUUCUCAUGUUAUUGUACUUUCUAGGACCUUCAACUCAGUGUUGAAUGGAAGUAGUAUGAGUAGGCAGCCUUGUUUUUCUUCAUGAACUCAGGGAAAAAAUGUUCAACAUAUCACCACUAAUGUUUUUUGUAGAUACCCUUUAGCAGAUUAAGGAAGUUUUAUUCUAAUUCUAGUUUACUAAGGACUUUUUUUCUCUUAAGUUAUGAGUGGGUAUAUAAUUUUAUCAGAUGCUUUUUCUGCAUCUUUUCAAAUGAUUCGAGAUUUUUUUUCUAAUUAUUCUACUAAUGUGGUGAAUUACAGUGUUUAAUUAUGUUUAUUAAACCAUCCCUGUAUUCCCAGAAUAAAGUAAAUUUGAUCAAGAUGUAUUUUGUUUAAAUCUUUAUCACUAGAUUCUAUUUGUUAAUGUUUUGUUUAGAAAUUUUGAAUUUGUGUUUAUGAGAGAGUGUUGGCCUAUAAAUUCUUACUUUUCAUAAUGUUCUUGGCAUUAUAUUGGUACCACGGUUACCAAGAACCUUGAUAUCAAGAUAAAAUAAGGUGAGAUAUUUACCCUUUCUAUUAUCUCGAAAAGUGUGGGUAAGAUUAAAAAUUGGUAUUAUUUCCUCCUUUAAUGUUUGGAAGAAUGCUCUGGUGAAGCUAUCUCACCUUGAAGAAUUAUUUUGUGGUCAAAUUUUAAGUUAUGGAUUCAAUUUCUUUAAUAGUUUUAGGAUCAUUUAGAUUUUCCAUCUUUUCUUCUAACAAUUGAGUUACUUGUGUUUUUCUAGGAAUUCCUUUUUUUGUUGUUGUUCCUUCUGGCAUUUGUGAGACUGCUGAAAGCCCUAUUUUAAUGUCAAAAUAGAAAUCUUUUUGAGGAUUUCUACUUGGUUUAUCUCUCUCUUAGCCACGUUUAUAAAUUGGCAAAUGCCUUUAGAGGAAAAGCAGGUCUGAAUUUAAGCUCACUACUUUGUUUUUCUCAUCACUUUGGGAUCUUGUUUGGCACCCCCUGUCUUCAUAGCUCUGAACUCCAAUUUCGGUCUCCCAGCCCCUUGGGACUAUAGAUCUCUACUCUGUUUUCUGGCCUCUUUUGUGCUUCUCAUCCUCUCUGCUCUGUGCCAGUUAUGAAUCAGCAGAAAAUUCCUAGAGGGAAAAGAGUAGCACAGAAUGUUGGAUUUCUUUUAAUCUUUUCUCUUAAUUCUGGGUUCUUGGCCUUUUAUGCCCUGGCUGUUUGGUUGUGUUUUGAUGCCUUGAAAUGUAUGCUAUUUAUAUUUUAUUUCAGCUUUUCUAGUUGUUCUAGACAGAGGAGUUGGUCUGAUACAAACCAGUCCCUCUUAGCUGGAAAAUUAGGCAAGCCUCUUAAGACACUCUGAACCUAUUCCCUCACCUACAAAUUGAGAAUAAUACCAGUUCCCCCAAAGGGCUAAUUAAUAUGUGCCUGGUACUUAAUACAAAUGUGAGCCAAUAUUAUAUAAAUUUCAAUAAUAAUAAAUACUAAUCUGAACUUGAAGUAUAAGACAGGAAUGAGCAUUUUUUUCUUUAAAAGGCCAGAGAGUAAGUAUUUUAGCAUUUGCUGGAAACAUAUGACCAUUGCUACCUUUUGCCGUCCCCAGUGCUUCUCCUCAUUCCCUCCUUUUUCCUCUUCUCCCUCCCACUCCUCUUCUUUUUCAAUAACCAUUUAAAACAUAAAAACUAUUCUUAACUUUCUGUUCAACAAUCAAGAUUUUGCCAAAUAUAAGUGAAUGGAAAAUAGGAAUUUAAGUUCAGCUUUUAAAAUUGUGGCAAAUAAUUUGAAUAUUCAAUUUGAUCUGCCAUAAGUUAUCAUGUCACUCUCUUGCUCAUUUCUCUCGUUUCACCCAGAGUAAAAGUCUUUGUCAUGUACGUAAAAGAACUUACACAACAUGGUUCCCUCCCUUACUCUCUUGUACUUCUCUGUCUUUGUCUUCUACUACUUUCUCCUUCAUUUACUCUGUUCCAGCUGCACUGGCCUCCUUGUUAUUCCCCAAACAAGUCAGACAGGCUUCUGACUCAGGUCUUUGCACUUGCUAGUCUCUCUGCCUGGGAUGCUUAUUUCCCACACUUUGUCAUGUCUUUACAUAAGCAUUUCCUUCUUAGUGAGGCAUACCCCAACUAUCCUCUCUAAAAUUGCAUUGCGUUCUAUCACAUCUUUUUCCCUUAACUUACUUUAUUUUCUCUUUUUAGCAGCUUGUUCAAAAUCUAUUAUAUACGACCCUUUAUUACUCAUAUUACUUAGCUUGGAAUCCAGUGUUCUCAAAAAUUUGGUCCCAACAUGUCUUUCCAACCUGUUUUUCAUUGCUUUCUUAUAUAAUCUGUACUUCAACAAUUUCAUAUUCCCUGUAUAGCAUUGUUUUACCACUUAAAAAUUGUAUUUUACCACUUUUAUACUUUUAUUUAUGCUGUGUCCAUUUUGUGCAGUACACUUCCCCAAUACAUUUUUGUUUUGUUUUAUUGUAAACAAGUAUAAAUAUAAUCCUACCAAAUUUUUAGGGCCCAGCUCAAAUGCUACCCCUUCCAUAAAAUUUCUGUUACCAUCCAAAUGGAAGGUUUCUAUAUCUCUUUUGAACUCUAAUGCCAUUUUGUCUGUAUAUAUAAUUUUUUUCUUUUUUUGAGACGAAGUUUCUCUCUUGUUGCCCAGGCUGGAGUGCAGUGGCAUGAUCUCGGCUCACUGCAACCUCCAGCUCCCUGGUUCAAGCGAUUCUCCUGCCUCAGCCUCUGGAGUAGCUGGGAUUACAGGCAUGUGCCACCACACCCGGCUAAUUUUGUAUUUUUAGUAGAGAUGGGAUUUCUCCAUGUUGGUCAGGCUGGUCUUGAACUCCCGACCUCAGGUGAUCUGCCCACCUCGGCCUCCCAAAGUGCUGGGAUUACAGGGGUAAGAGACCACGCCUGGCCAUUUUGUCUGUAUUUUUAUCUCUUCACUUUCUGUUAAUAAUAACAGUACUAUCUUUGCCUUUAGUUAUAUAUACUAUACUUUAUAUGCUCUGCAUGUGUUACCAUAUGUAACUCUCUCUUUUCCUCCUUGCUAAGUACAGUUAUUAACUCUGGAAAUAAUGUAAGAGGCAAUCAAGUGAGAACUACAAAAAAUAGAAAGAGGAAGGCAGACUGGCUAGGGACCCUAGUACAGGAAAAACAACACAGUGACAGAGUCUCUUAUGACCCACACCCAACAGCAAACCUGGUCUAGGCCCCCACUCUCAACCUAGCAACGUAAGAUGACACAGGUAGGCUUAUUCUUUCCCCAGAUUAAACAAGAGCCCUGCCAACAACACUAGGCAAGUCUGGUGGCUCUAGCAAGGGGGAAUUGAUUUGGAACCACUGGCAAUCAGUGACCAGGGAGAAGCAUUCUCCUUCCUUCCUGGGCAUGAGACUCCCCUUCCCCAAUGACAGACACUGGGUGGCCAGUGUGCCUGGCAAGGGGGAUAUCCUCACAAAUGCCUAGCCCAGAAAGUGAUCUUUGUUCCUGUCGCCUGGAGACUCCUUUCUCUCCCCUAAAGGUACCAGAUGACCCAACCUGAGGAAGCUCUCUUUCCCCCUACUCUAAGGCACCAGUGUGGACUAGUGGGAACCCAACGGGCACCAAAAAAAAA